GCGGUCCCUUCAAACUCGCUGCGCGGCAAAGCGCGGAGGAGCGGCUGCUGUGGGGUGGGGACGCCCGGGGCACCUGGGCCGGAGCCAGGGCCGGGGCGGUGCAUCGCAUCGCAUCUCCGCGGUUGUUGUGGAGCUGCUUCUGAUUGAUUCUUGUGAGGGAAAGGGGGUCGGGGGUGCCCGCCGCGGCUGGGUCUUGCCCGUACGGGCCCGGCCUGCCCUGCCCGUCCCGGGGCGUUGUGUGAGGAUGGGCCCGGGGGUCUCUGCCGGUGCCGCUGCCUGGGCCGGCUCCUCGGCGUUGCGGGGAACAACCGUUUCGGCCUUGGAAGAGCUGGUCCCCACUGUGCCUUUUUCGUAUAAGUCUUUACGCUGCUAUUGCACGGUGGUCCUUGUACGCAUGUGAUACAACAAAGUUGUUAAUCCUUGUUCCUUGUUACAGCACCUGUUUCCUUAACACCUUAACGGAUUUUUUUUCAAGUGGUAUUUUACCUACAGGGGUGAAAUGAUCUGUUAGGUUUCUUUUGGUGACCUUGACCAUUCCAAUUACAGUACUUGGGACAAGCCUGCACUUCCAACUCUUCAGUUUACAGUUUGUGGGGUUGUGAAGGCAGCUUCGGUUGGGCUGACUACAUUGCAGAGGCAGGAUGAUUCAAAGUGCUCCUGUGUGGCUUGUAAAAUUCUUCUGGUGUGUUUAUCCAUUCUGGUUAUAUAAAGAUACCUGCAAGGAUAACAGCUUCCUAUUCUUGUUACACUGAGUUGUUUAGGGUUUUUUAUACUAAGCUGCUUUUACUUCUGUUUUUGUCCAUGAAUGCUACUCUUGUGCUGGUUCUGAAAUCACAAGUUAUGAUACUUCUGUGUGUCUUUGCUGAGCUGUAUGUUUGGUGACAGAUGUCAGCAAUUGUUACAUAAAAUCCUGUUCUUGCAAAAGCAGAGCACUAAGGUUCCUUUAGAACUAGUGCUGAGCUAGACUUUCCUGCUCUCUUAUUAUAUUUUUUUCCACUACUAAAGUUUGAAUAUACAAGAAAUUUUCCCUAUAUUUUUUCCCAGAGCCUUUAUUUUCCGCCUUUGACUUUUUUAGGGGCAGCACAUAUGUAUGACAAACUUAUUUGAAAAGCAGCAAGUUGAAUAGCUGAAUAGUAAUUUUUAGGAAAAAAAAAAGAAUUACAGAACAAAAGUAAAAAUCUCAGGUUACAAGUUAUGAGAAGACAUUUCAGUGCAGAUUAUCACUUGGUUUUUGUUUCUCUCUUCCAUUUAGAUUGAUUAAAAAGAUGAGUGAAGAUUCUAAGAGGAACCUGGAAAAAAACCAUGACAAGCUCAAUAAAAGAAAGCAGUGUCUGUUCUCCUGAUUCAACAGUAUCUUCUCUUUUAACAAGCUAUACCAUUGACGGCAAUAAUCCAUACUCAAAUAGCUUGAUUCACUACAAGGACAAGCUUUACAGCUCUGCAUCUGAGGCUUUGGAGGCUUAUAUUGAGGAUUUUGAUUUAAGUCUCACGUCUUCAGAAAUAAGCACUGGAAAAAUCUGCAUAUGUCAAAGCACUCCCAAACAAGUUAAGCCUUCAAAGCAUCAUGCCAAAGAAAAACAUGCAUUGGAUGAUUUUAAUCAGCAUGCUUCACCAUCUAGAAGGCAGACUGAGUGUGACCCAGACUUGAUUAGUCUUGCGACGGAUGAUCUGUUAGCGUUUCCAGCAGAUGGAUCACUGCCCUUUGUCCAGCAUAGCCCUUUUAAAUCGAGGCAUCAAAGUAGCGAGCGGAACAGAAGGUCACUUAAAGCAUCUUUCUGCCCUUGCCAAACCUCAUCACUCGAUACUGAAAGCGGUUUCAGUCUCCAGGAGAAUGGGAAAGCUGUCGCUCACCAGAAUCCACGCAAAGACUUCAGCAAAAAGACACGCGAUGCAUAUACACCUGUUAGAUACGAUUCUGUCUCCUCUAAAGGAAGUUCGAGACCCUUGUCUUUUGAAGAGAACUCUAGCACUUUUCCGUUUAAGAAUUACCCAAGGUGGCUUACCAGUCAGAAGUCUGACUUAAGUGUAUCGGGGAUAAGUAGUAUUCCCAAUUUUCACUACCCAGUCUGGCUUAAGAGUUGCAACCUUUUUUCUGAUUUAACUGAGGAAAGCGAUGGUCAAAAUUCUAAUAUACAAAGCAAAGCUUCCACUCCACAGACUUUUGAGAUCCUGAAAAAAAGACACUCUGUAGGUAAAGACAGUUCUAAUGUUUUUGAACAAAAUGGUUGCCUGGAUCUGAGAGAUGAUAACAAAGUAGAAGAAAGUUGCAACUAUGACAGCCCAGAUGCAUGCUUCCCAUUUGAUAACUCGUUUUUGAGACAUACUAAAAAGCUGUUCAGAGAAGACCAGCUUGAGCUACAUACCUUGAAGGCUGACAGAGGUCUGGAGAGUUUAACCGAAGAUUUGUCAAAUGCUCUGGAAAAUGAUGGCAGUCCUUCUACAACAGAUAUACUAGGAGCAGAAAGAUCAUGGGAAAAUGCUCCAGGUGCUUUCAAAUCACCAGUGCCUGCGUGCUGUGAGGACAUGGAGAAUGCUCUACCAUUCCCCAAGGCAGAUAUCAUACAUAAAUUCUUGGAAGACUGUUUAAAUGACAAAAAUAAGGGAAAUACUUUGUGUGGCGGUCAUCACCACAGGCCCCUUGAAGCUUUGAAAUUAAUGUUGUUUAAACUUCAAGCAAUUCAGGGACGUUUAUGCCAGAAAGAAACUGCUGAGCAAAGGGAAGAGUUUGAAAAACUUUUUGAAAAAGCAGAGGCUGAAUUAAAACUGUGUGACAGCGAGAUAAUCCCUCUUACUAAUUCUAUUCAGAAGGCUUUACAUCAUUUGUCACUUCUUAGAAGUCUUGUGGAAGAUAACGGUAACCAACAAGAGCAGACUGAUGAUCAUGAAGAUAAACAAGAAAAAAAGAGAAUAAUCUGUGAAGCUGAUCUCUAAGAAUAUUUUAAUAUUGUGUAGUUUAAAUAAUUUGUCAGCCUGAUUACUGGUCACAACUUUUUUAAAAUCUGAACCAGUGCAUGUUCUCAAAAAUGUUGUAUUCAGUAUUUCUGUACAUAUUCAUUCUUUUCCUUAAUUACUUCAAAGCUUAAUCGAGUAUUAGUGCUGCCAUUAGGAUCUAACAAUAUGUGACAAGACAUACCACUUUUUAAAGAAUAUUUAAUUAAAAUAAUGUGAACAUUUUCAUGGAAGAAUCUCUGUGUGUUUAUAACUUUACAAAAAAACUAAACUCUUUAGCCAAUUUAGUCAUCACUUCAUUACAGGGCCUGUUAGAAACAGGGGGAGCUCAAGAUCAUGUGUGAAGUUCAGCAGUAAGGUUUAGCAAUAAUAUAAUUACGUAGUAUUUUCAGUGCUGUUUCUAACAGGGCUUGAAUUGAUGUAACUGUACGCUCCUUGUUCCCCGACCACAAACUUAACAACUGUAUUGUAUCAAAAAGUGUCUGAAGUCUUUUUGAAUUGUCCUCCUUUCACAUCCUAGUAAAGCCUGGUGGUUUUGGGGAAAGAAGGUCCUUGUUUAGAGGCAUCCUGCUCAGGAGCACAGAAUGUGUUACAGCUGAACCGAUCCAGCAGCUGGUUGGCAAUGCUACUGGGAAGUCCUAAUCUCCCUUCCACUUGCCUUGGCUUUGUUCUUCGCUUUAGAGCAUAUAAAAUCCUUUGGUGGGCCUAAAUAAACGGAGAAGUAACAGAUUUAUUUUUUUUUUUUCAGCAUAAUUGAAUAGAAUUAGCUUGUGAAAGCCACUGAUAAGCACUGGAACUUGUGCAGGGGAGAGAGGAGUAGGACUUAUCCCAUUUGGCAACAGCAAAUCGAGAGACAAAGAGAAAAGCUCUUUACUAAAUGGAUAACCAGGCAUUUGAAAUGCAUGGAGAGAUCAUACAAAGUUCUUCAAAAGGAAAAGAGUGGCCAAAGAAAGAGG